CAACCUGCAUACAAGAGUGUGAGUUUCAGAAAACCCCCACCCAGCAGAGUAAGUCUUCUGCUGGUAGUAUCAGUGAAUGUUAAUCUCAGGGCUCUGUAUGAAACCCUGGACAACCACAUGCAUGUACAUGUUGCUCACAUGUAGUCUACAUGCAUGUACAUGUUGCUCACAUGUAAUCGUACGAGUAAGUGACAGAAUAGAGGAAGAUGGCGAACACAACACCAGAGAGCAGACUGGCCACACCCACCACACCUGUGAAUAUCUGCACAUGGGGAUAUCAUUAUUAGGUAUUUAAGAAAAUAACGCAACCAACCAUAAACUCCUUGAUGCCCCACAGUGGCUCUAGGAUGGUGGAAAACCCAAUCACAGCAACAAGGUCCAUAGCAACCUGCACACAAAAUAAUAUUAAUUUUAGAAGCCUAUAUAUUAGAGCACAUAUAAGCGUUGACCCUCUCUCCCACACACUGUGUUGUAGGUACUCACAAAUAUGAUUCUGUUUUCAUAGAAGGGAGCUGUUAUCAGGGUCCAGAUCUUCAUGCUUGGUGGAGACACACUGCACACAGGAGGACACGUACGUAUUAAAGUGGUGAGCGUACAAAGCUGGUGUCAUGGCGAGGUUGUUAUGGAGGAACGGAGAGAAACUGAACAAGUAGAACAACACGAUGACACCAGACAACACUUUAGCACACAGUGACAUAGCCUUGACUUGUUGUAGGCUCAUCUGAACAGAAUAGAACACAUUGUUCAUAUUGAAGUAUGCAUACACUGAGGAGGUACAUGAUGUGACAUACCAUAGCGAAGGCCUGGGUUUUGUGCUGCAUUUAUAUCACACAGUACAGUACAGCAUAGAUACUAUGAAUACAGAACAGUAGUAAGCUUUCUCUUUCAGCUAUAUUUUUUUAUAUUGUUAGUACUUCAUAUGGUAAUGGUGGACAUUUUUACAAGA